rnacentral:lncRNA from 1 species
CGUGACCAACGAUCAUUCAUGCCAUAUAUCAUCUCAAACCUCCUUUCUAGGGGUGAGUGUAGUAUCAUCUCAAACCUCCUUCUAGGGUGUGGUAUAUUCUAUACCAAUUUUGAUGUUCAUAUUCUUCCAAUAAUGAAUAUGUAUUCGUGAAUCAGAUGUUGUCACAUUCACUUCGGGGAUAUGUGAUUUUGUUAUCCUUUUCAAAUCUAUAANN